rnacentral:rRNA from 1 species
GUCUACAGCCAUGCCACCCUGAACGUGCCUGAUCUCGUCUGAUCCUGGAAGCUAAGCAGGGUCCGGCCUGGUUAGUACUUGGAUGGGAGACCACCUAGGAAGACCAGGUGCUGUAGGCA